AACAACCCAAACUUCACGAAUGUGAUCUUCUCCACCUGGUUGUGCUUAUGACUUACAUUGUGGCUGGAAAAGAAGCAUUCUGAGAAUGGGGAGAACUAACCAACUAAGGGAAGGAAAAAAAUAACCAUCUCUCCACUCUGUGUCUUUUGAACAAAGAUAAUUUUGAUGGAAAGUAGUGGACUUCACCCAUUCACUGACUCCUAAGGACAAAUGGUUGGAAACCUGUAAGUACACGUUGCCGUGAGAAUUGACUGCUCCACUGAACUUCUCCAAAGUGGCAAGAGCCUCGCAACAGCAGGCUUUUGUGGCGCUGCUGGGACUCUCCUUUUUUUGCAACGAAAGUUAAGUGCCAGCUUAUGACAACUGCUCAAAAGCCGGAGUGGAGUGAACAUGACCAGUAAUCUGUGCAGCUGCUGAAUCCUCACUCUUUCAUCCAUCUUCACAAACUGAAAGAUUAAGACAAUGUGCAAAACAGUUCACUUGGAGGAACUCAAUAUCCGUAAGUGCUUUAAAAACAUCAACUGCCUUUCAAUCACAAUGCCAGUAGCCUUCAUAUCCUGUGGAGAAAAGGACUCCUUUUAGUGUAUUAGCUUAAUUUCAAGAGGCUUGAUGAAAUAUGAGCUUUUCUGGCUGCUUUCAGGCACAGUGAUACUUUGCAAGGACUCAAGCUACAUUAGGAAAAAGAAAAGCAAUCCAUGCUGAUAGGCAUCAAACCUGCUGCUGCUGUAUGUGUCUAGUUGCAUGUACAUUUGCUCCUGUGUUCCAGGACUUGUAUUCAUAAAGCCUGACUCAUAUUCAUAAAGCUCAGUCUAUUUGAGAUAUUUAAAUCCAACUUUCUCUUCUUGGUAAAUGGCUAUAUUAAACUGUGGUACUGCAUAUUUAUUAAAUACCUGGAAAUCAGAAAAUAGAGAAAAUGGAAGAAAUCUU